rnacentral:rRNA from 1 species
AGACCACCACGUUGAUAGGCCGGAUGUGGAAGCACAGCAAUGUGUGGAGCUAACCGGUACUAAUCGCUCGUGAGACUUGAACUUGA